rnacentral:lncRNA from 1 species
UGCGGACGGGUGAGAAGGGAGAAAUAGAAUGUCGGUCUUUGUCAUGAUUUCCUAACUCCGAGGAAGACUCGCAAAAUCAUUGGUGGCUCCCAAAUUCAUGCAACAAUAAUAAUACUUCUUCACUAUUUGUUUUUUUUUUCUUUCUAACAGUACUGGACUACUAACUAGUACGGAGAGAAUUCAUUUCAUUUCUGCAAAAAAAUGAAGAAGGUUGAUUGAUCGUCGAUCGUUGCUUCGCUGCUGACGUAGUUGUUAAUACUACUGUCGACUCAACUGUGUGGUCCGUCUGAGGUGAAAGGAAGAGAGGGAAAAGGUGAAACGUAGCCGUUAGGAAGCGUGCGUUUUAAUUUCUAUCGGUUGAAAUUGGAGGGAGAGACGAGACGAUGAGAGGGCGGCUGUAGAAUUUUGGACCAACUCUCCAACCAACUCCGGCUCCACAAUCUGACAUAUUAUCCCACUACUAUAUGGUUGGUUGGUUAAUUAUAAAGGAUUAAAUUGCGCAUUUUUGCUUUACCCGCUGACCCAUUCUUUACUCCAACAAAAACCCAACCAAAAAUAGAAACUCUCUCUCUUUCCAGACUCCUACUC